rnacentral:rRNA from 1 species
UACGGAGGGUGCAAGCGUUAAUCGGAAUUACUGGGCGUAAAGCGCGCGUAGGCGGUUUUUUAAGUCGGAUGUGAAAGCCCCGGGCUCAACCUGGGAACUGCAUCCGAUACUGGAAGACUAGAAUGCGGGAGAGGGAGGUAGAAUUCCAUGUGUAGCAGUGGAAUGCGUAGAUAUAUGGAGGAAUACCAGUGGCGAAGGCGGCCUCCUGGCUCGACAUUGACGCUGAGGUGCGAAAGCGUGGGGAGCAAACGGG